rnacentral:rRNA from 1 species
UACCAGCACCCCGAGUGGUCGGGACGAUUAUUGGGCCUAAAGCAUCCGUAGCCGGUUUUACAAGUCCUCCGUUAAAUCCAGCUGCUUAACAGAUGGGCUGCGGAGGAUACUAUAAGACUAGGAGGCAGGAGAGGCAAGCGGUACUCAGUGGGUAGGGGUAAAAUCCUCUGAUCCAUUGAAGACCACCAGUGGCGAAGGCGGCUUGCCAAUACGCGCUCGACGGUGAGGGAUGAAAGCUGGGGGAGCAAACCGG